ensembl:scaRNA small Cajal body-specific RNA 18
CUACUGAUGAUGAGGUGACCACUGCACAGUCUGAGUUCUGGGAACCAUGUUAUGGAGUGUCCUGAAGAAAAAAAAAGAAGAAA